rnacentral:rRNA from 1 species
UACGAGGGGUCCUAGCGUUGUUCGGAAUCAUUGGGCGUAAAGGGUGCGUAGGUUGCUAUUCAAGUCAGUUGUGAAAUCCCCGGGCUCAACCCGGGAAGUGCUUCUGAUACUGUUUAGCUUGAGUACUGGAGAGGAUAGUAGAAUUCCAGGUGUAGUGGUGAAAUACGUAGAUAUCUGGAGGAAUACCGGCGGCGAAGGCGGCUAUCUGGCCAUGUACUGACACUGAAGCACGAAAGCGUGGGUAGCAAACAGG